UAAUGGUCUGAACUUCUGAAGCAGCUGCUAUAUCUGUGUAUUUCCUAAGCAGAUACACAGGUGUAAUGCAUAAGCCAGCAUCCAUGAUAGAUUUUUUUUCCAUUAUGUAACAACAUUUUAUCCCACACUUUCUGGGAAAUUUGCUCAGAGGCACUGUAGCCCCUCAGUGUCAAGCUGAGGAUUGAAGGGGACAAGAACUGCCAGAAAGCUGUUAAAACACUGUGUUGUACAGCAAUGGUCUCUCUUGACAGAAAAAAAAAACCUUUAAGUGUUAAUGUUAAGUGAGAGAGUCACAGUGAUAAGGUACAGUACUGCACAUUAGUCUGGUGUGGUGCUAAAAGAGAGAAAACAGAAACAAAUUGGACAUCAGACUAUUUGAAAGCAACCACCUUUGGUUCAUAUGUAAGUGUGUACUUCAGGUCGACGUUUUCAUUUCAUGUGUGUGACUUUACUCUCUUUGAAACGCCUUAAGGAGUGGGAGCCGUUUCCUCCGUCAGUUUAUACACAUUCAACGGUGCCACUUAAAAAUGUUAACUUCUUGACAUAUAAAUUGCUCUGUAGUCUGAGAGGGUGUUAAUGUCUGAGAGCGAACAUCCCGUGCCCAUCCGCUGCAUUCCUCCAGAUGUUUGGCACAACACCUUUGACUUUUCUGUCCUCACUCUCACCCGGAUGGCUGGAGGAAGAUCACAUCGAUAGGGAUGAGAUGAUGACAUGCCUCCAUCUCGCCUGAGAGAGAGGAUGUCAAAACAAAGAGCUUCCAGACAUGGAAGAUAGGUUCUAUUUGUGUCUGUUUUUGUGUGGGUGUUAGUGCUAAUGUCAUGUGUCUGAAUCGUUGUUUUCGCAGUAUGUUAACCUUUUGAGCUCUAGGCUAUUCUUUUUAAUUUCCACCUCAGAAAACAUCCUGAAUUUAGCUAGUAACAGCUCCACAGUUGUAAGUUGGAAAUGAACAGCCUUGGGCUCUAUGAAUAGGAGACAUUUGCCAUUACUGGGCCACAGGAAGAUCUGAAAACUAUGAAUUAGAUCAUAAAUAACAAUUUAACAAUGAGUCAGUGACACUAAUGUUACUGAACAUGUUUCAGAAUUCUCAACAGCAACUUUACUGAAUUUGUGGUGACAGACAUGCAGCACAACAAGUUUACUAUCACUUGGCAACCUUAAAAAAGGCAUCAGGUUUAAAUAGCGGUCUUGGUCUGGUCCCUGUAGAGGUGUCUGUAUGAUGGAAACAGUUAUCAUUAACAUUAACAUGCAUGUCUGUAUUUCAUGUGCUGGUGCCAAAUCAUUCAUACAUCUGUGGUUUAGAUGCUUCCCUGCUAUAUUCUGUUUCUUCACUCUUGUGUUUUGCCUCCUUUUAUGGCCCAGAUAGAAGACUCUGGGCUCUGUGGGUGCUGACAGAGUAAGAUCGAGUAGAGCUCAUCCUCUUCACUCACUGUUUGAGGUGACAGAGGCCGACCUGUGCAUGAGCCAAGGAACCUGCUGGAAACCACCUGGCAUAAGAAGGAGGUCAACUCUUUCAUGCAUGCAAACCAAGGAUCAAGUAGAAGUAAAGUAGUCAGUUAUGAUUUGUGACAUAUGCUUUAAACUAGAGCCUCGGCUUGAUGUUACGAAGGUUUUUUAUUAUGAUAUAGGCUAUACUUUAAUGUUUGCCACAUUAGCUGCAGGCAUAUGAAGAGGUUAGGUCAGUCCGUCCACCACUGUGGCCCAGAGAGAAAUAUAUCACAUGGAUUGGCACGGAUUUUUAAAACACAUUCAUUGUCCAUAUAGGAUGGAUUCUAUGGCCAUAUGGUUCCUCUGAUAUUUCUUCUAGUGCCACCAUUAAUUUGACAUUUUAGAUGGAAAAUGGCAAUGAAAUUUUGGAUAUUACCUCUAUUGAUUCACUGAUAAAUCUACUACAUUAUCAGGUCACAACCAUAAUUUGUGCAAUACUUUUACCUUUAACAAAAUACUUGAAAAACUAAAGAUGGUUCCAUCACCCUCAUCUUGUGUUUAUACUUGAUUCUUAGUGUUGUUUCCAUUUCACUACCUCAUAAAGGCUCACCUGUGCUGUCACGACUCAUUUUCUUAACAUAAUAGAAUGCACAAAUUUCCCUGCACAUCAAAGGGAAAACUUAAGCUUGACUUUCUUCUUGUGGUUUUAUCUCUGUUCUAUCUCUCAUUCAUGCACACAUUUAGCCUCAGGUUAGAUGUGUUUUGGAAUUACAUUAGUACAGUGACACUCAAAUUCAGAAAAUAUUGCUUUUUCAAACUCACAUCUGUCAAGUUGAGUAUUUUGCAUGCAUUUUACAAAAAGUUUCAUCUGAAAUAUUCCCCCAGCUAAUUUGGCUUUUAGCUAAUUUAAUUGUAGCACGGGCUAUCCUCUUGAAAGCACCCUGAGGAGUAACUGUAACACUAAGUUGAAGUCUCCUGCUCAUUUCCCAACCAUUUCUUGUGUGUGCGAUGGCAGCUCAGCUGACAUGAAGGUGAUUUAUCCUCCAUAGUCUCCUGUGUCCUGCAGUAAAGUCUUGAGCAAGAGAGCUAGUGUGUGCCUCCGCUGGGUCAGUGCUGCAAAUGAACUGUUUGACAGUUCAUGAAAUGUAGCAUAUAACUGCUCUCUAGUCUGUUCUACAGAUGAUUGACUAUGUCCUCUCUGUGUGUAUACAGUGUUCUAUUACAAAUGCCGUUUGGCAAACUAUGAAUGAAGAUACGCUUGGCGUGCCAUAAUUUAACUUACAUUAGUGCAAUUACUGCACACAAUAUCCCCAUCUGUCAGAGUUAUUGUGUGUGAACGGACAGCAAUGUGUUGUGGGUAUUGUACGGAAUACAUUCCGCAACAAGCAGCAGCCAAUGAAACUCUAAUCUGUGAGUGCUUUAAUUAGUAGGGCUUCCUUUCUCAUACGCAUUCAGUGCACAUCUACACUCUCACAAGCAAGCUUGUGUGAUCUCUGUGAGGCCCUCGACACUUACAUGUUGCAACCAUCCCACACUGAUGUUGCUCCACCUCACCCCUCAUCCCUUGUCUCCUGUUGACCGAGAGGCCAGGUCACAACCUCAGAGAUGGCUUCGUCUCACAGAUGAUGUCAUCGUUCCUCUGAAAUGCUCUUUAUUCCUCCACUUGUCUUUCCUCCUGUUCCUCCGCCCACUACUCAUGUCUCCCCCUCUCUAUACCUGACCUCUCUCAUUCCCACAGCAAAUAGCCUGACCCUUUCCUCCCCACAAUGUCCACCCUGCCUCACCCCUCUCCUCUCUCCGUGACUCUCCCUGUUGGUAUUCAGGGUUAUCACUUCAGUAAGCAACACGUCCCUCUCUUCUCACCUCUCUCGUGCCUCACCAGCUUGAUGAGGCCAUCUUUCACACAUUCUCACAUGUCGUGCAUUGCUCCGUUGCACUUUCUCCAUGAAUUCUCUCACCUCCGAGGCUUAAUAAGUUUCGUGCUGGUUUUAUAAACUGCACUGGCACUGUGAUUCAUGUUUUCACUAUCUACCUCCGCUCUCUUGCCACUUUUAUCCUCCUGUAGUGCUUUCAAAUGCUUCCCUAUUACCAGUUCCUCCUUUCAGUUGUCUCAACAGUCUGUCUGGCCAGCUUAUUCAGAAUGCAUAAAACACAUGGCAUUAUAGUAGAGUUGUAAUGACUUUACAUAUAGAGUAUAUGGUGCCAUUUAUCUUCUUUCCAUGCAUACCAGUAUUGGAAGUACAAAAACAUGUUUCUUUCUUAAUUUAUUGCAUAACCAUCCAUGCUACAAAAAUCUCUGGACGCAAAUAUGUCUUUUAGUGGACAGAUGCAUGUCAGGACAAGUAUUUGAGCAGUUACACAUGUUUUCUUUUAGUUCAGGCUCUGUGCUUGAGUAAUUCUAGAGGGUUUAUCUCAGUGUUGAAAGAACUGCAGAAGGGAAAUACUGUUUAAAUUUUUCACCAACAGUAAGGAUUUAAAAGUAAUUGGACAGUUGGCAACGGCAUGUCUCUCAAUGCUACGUACAUGUGGCUCAUAGUUUACUGACAGUUCAGAGUUUGGAUGAGCGGGAAAUUAUUUGCCUGGUGAAGAAAAGCCUCAUGAGGCCUGAACAGCAAGUCAAGAAUCUUUUCCAUUGUGUAGACAAACAUGUUUCCAUAUUAAACAACCAGAGAACCAGAAUCUUAGAAGAUUCACCUCUUUUAGGCCUCAAAAACAGAAAAAUCUGCUUCAUACAAGAACCACAUUGGAGCUGUGGAACAAUGUUCUGUGUACUGAUGGAAUUAAAAUCAGCCUGUAUCGACAUGAUGGACAGAGUUACAAGUGUGGAGAAAGAAGGGACAGUUCAUGACUCAAAGUACCAAACCUCAUCCGUCAAACAUGGUACCACUGACACCUGAACUGGCCCCCUGGCAUUUAUUGAUGGUUUCACCUCUGAGGGAAGGAUGGAUGUAGAAGUAUACAGAAGCAUUGUGUGUUCUCAGAGUCAGUCAAAUGCAUCAAAACUCACUGGAUGAAAGGACAUGUCAUCAUUCAGCAGAACAAGCCAAGGAGCUUUUCUGGUAAAAGAGGUAGAAUAUUCUGAUUACCCAAGCCUAUCUCCUGAUGUCUGUGAUCUGAACAUUUUCCAAAAAAUAUGAAAUGAUGAUUUUGUUUGACUUCAAUAAUAGAUUAGUCAUUACAUCUUUUUUUUAAAUGUAUCCUGUAGCAUGAAUAAAAAAACCAUUCAGAUUUGAGACAUAAAUCUUGCUGCUAAUCAGUUUCUUUGUUAUUUGCAGCAUAAAAACUUCCUCUGAUUUUCCUCCAUGUUUUCUACCAUCCUCCUACUGUUGCCUUUUCUGUCUCGACAGUUGCUCCUCUCUUCAGCAUUGGCAACAUAACAUUGCUGCAUUGUUACCAGAGCGGGAAUGUCGCUACAGAAACCAGUUGACAAACUCCACUAUUUUGUCAAAUACAGAGAGAUUUGCCUGAUGCUGGCAGGCUAUAAUCAGCAUCGUGUGAACCCCUUUGGCUAGAAUGAAAUAGAUCCAGGAUCCUGGAGCCUAUCCCAGCUGACUUGGGGUGAAGGCAGGGGACACCCUGGACAGGUCAUCAGCCUGUUGCAGGGCUACAUAUACAAAUAUUGGCACUUGCAAUCACCCCUAUGGAUAAUUUAGAGUCAUCAAUUAACCUCAGCAUAUUUUUGGACAGUGGGAAGAAGCCGGAGUACCCGGAGAAAACCCACACAUGCCCAGGUAGAACAUGCAAACCCCAUGCAGAAAGAAUGCAAGGAAAUGAACCGAUGAUCUUCUAGCUGCAAGGAGGUUGGUGAAGUCAUCGCUCUUGUUCAUGUAGUCGACAUGCUUGCGUUUCUCCGUGUCCAGCUCGUGGACGGUGCGACGGUGACACUUUUCAGCGAGCAGUAACUGGCCCAGCAUCCGCCGAGGAUUCCAGCAGUAGCUUCUCUUUGUCAGAGAUGACUUCAACCUCCACCUGAUCCUCACCUUCCUUCUGCUGAACCUUGGCCUUCAGACUUUUCACAGGCAGACCCACUUCCUGGUCUUGGCCGAUGUCGUGGUCGGCCUGGGGAACCCCAAGCACCCCAUUGGCUGGGCUCUCCACCCCGCUGCUUUUGGACCUCAUCUUACCUGGUCCAAGAACAAAAGAAAUGAUGAUUUUUAGUAUCAUUCAUGUGCCCUUUUUUAUAGCAGAGUUUGUGCUGUUGGGGGAUUCCCAUUGUAACUAUUACAGUUUAAACUGUUCCUGUGAAUAUGCCUAAUGUCAUACUCCACAUUGUGUUAAUGUAUGAGCACAAUUCAUAGUGAGCUUUAUGGCUUUGGCCUUGCCUACCUUUCCUCUCAUAACUCCAUAUUCACCGCUGUACUGACCCACUUUCUUCCAAUGACGAGCAAAUGCAAACAUACUGCACGCAUAACUGGAUGAUACCGUCCUAUGUUAACAUUCCUAAUGUGGAAAUAAAUAUCCAUAAUUACCCA